CCGAAAAGUGCAGUUGUUGUGCAACCUAGGAAAGGUAGUAAAAUGAAACCACGACCAACGCAUGAAUAUAGGGCUUCGAAGAGGCAGAGAAGAUCAAGCUCAGGCCAUGACGGGGCUUCAUUGCCAGAAACCCACAAUUGCCCUGCUCAGGUGCAGAGACACGUUACCCCAGUCUGCAAGAACAAGAAGGAGCCAUCAGAAACAACGAAUGAUCAGGUCCGCACUUCAAAGGUCACAAUUGCUGUAGAGAGUACAACAGCCAUGCAGCCAAAAAUAUGUAAAAAGGUCAGGCCACAAACCAACCGGAACAUUAUGGCUAUCGAAAGGCAAAGGACAGCUAUCGGAGCCAGCUCAGCACAG